GGGAAUAUGGCUCAGUGGUAGAGUGCCUGCCUAGCAUGCAUGAAGCCCUGAGCUUGAUUCCUCAGUACCA
rnacentral:tRNA from 1 species